CCUACGGGUGGCAGCAGUGGGGAAUAUUGCACAAUGGGGGAAACCCUGAUGCAGCGACGCCGCGUGAGUGAAGAAGUAUUUCGGUAUGUAAAGCUCUAUCAGCAGGGAAGAAAAUGACGGUACCUGAUUAAGAAGCCCCGGCUAACUACGUGCCAGCAGCCGCGGUAAUACGUAGGGGGCAAGCGUUAUCCGGAUUUACUGGGUGUAAAGGGAGCGUAGACGGCAGCACAAGUCUGGAGUGAAAUACCCAGAGCUUAACUCGGGUGCUGCUUCUAAGACUGUUGAGCUUGAGUGCGGGAGAGGUUAAUGGAAUUCCUAGUGUAGCGGUGGAAUGCGUAGAUAUUAGGAGGAACACCAGAGGCGAAGGCGAUUAACUGGACCGUAACUGACGCUGAGGCACGAAAGUGUGGGUAGCAAACAGGAUUAGAUACCCUGGUAGUC
rnacentral:rRNA from 1 species